AUCCACUUUAGAAUUUUUUUACUUUUUUAUUUUAAAAAGAAUAAAAAAAAAAUCAAUAACCAACUAACAAAACAGACAAAAACGAAAAAGGGGGCCCUUAGUAUACAAAGGGGAAAUAAAAUUUCUCUCUCUCUCUCACACACACACACAAAAUUAGCUUUAAAAAAUCAGUGCGGUCAAUGAUAAAGCUCAAAUGUUGCACUACAAAAGAAAGGCAGCGGUGAUCCAGGACGUAGAGGCUGCAGCUAAUCGUACGGGUCCCUUUUAAUUUUCACUGUCAAGAUUUUCGCCCUUCAGGGAACAUAAACACUACUAAACGCUUGUCAGCUCUUUCGGAGGCUGGGAAGGUUUGUUUCUCUGCCUGUCUCCGGGAGAUAGAUGUGGACCUUGGCGUCCUUCCGCAGAGCAGUCGAUGCGCCGGACAAGAUGGACCGGCAGCUCCCUGGUGCAGUGUAUUCAGAGGUGACAGGCAGCGGCCCAGCGUCGUGUUUUCUUCUUUAUCCUGCAAACAAGACUUCAGAGCACUCUUACAAUGGGAGAAAGGAAUGCCAAGCCCAGUGCCUCCGGUGUCCGCUCCUGCACAACUGGCCCGAAUGAGAGUGACGUGUGGAAUCGUUUCUUCUCAGGGCCGGACAGCUCUCAUUACGUCCACGGGGUAUGGAGGGAAUCAAAAGGCCGCGGCUGUCCACCUUCUCUUCUCCUGAGGAAGUGGCAGGGAGCCUGUCUGCA
rnacentral:lncRNA from 1 species